rnacentral:rRNA from 1 species
UGGGGAAUAUUGCACAAUGGGCGCAAGCCUGAUGCAGCCAUGCCGCGUGUGUGAAGAAGGCCUUCGGGUUGUAAAGCACUUUCAGCGGGGAGGAAGGCGAUAAGGUUAAUAACCUUGUCGAUUGACGUUACCCGCAGAAGAAGCACCAGCUAACUCCGUGCCAGCAGCCGCGGUAAUACGGAGGGUGCAAGCGUUAAUCGGAAUUACUGGGCGUAAAGCGCACGCAGGCGGUCUGUCAAGUCGGAUGUGAAAUCCCCGGGCUCAACCUGGGAACUGCAUUCGAAACUGGCAGGCUAGAGUCUUGUAGAGGGGGGUAGAAUUCCAGGUGUAGCGGUGAAAUGCGUAGAGAUCUGGAGGAAUACCGGUGGCGAAGGCGGCCCCCUGGACAAAGACUGACGCUCAGGUGCGAAAGCGUGGGGAGCAAACAGG